rnacentral:rRNA from 1 species
CCUACGGGAGGCAGCAGUGGGGAAUCUUGCGCAAUGGGCGAAAGCCUGACGCAGCAACGCCGCGUGCGGGAUGAAGGCCCUCGGGUUGUAAACCGCUUUCAGCAGGGACGAAAUUGACGGUACCUGCAGAAGAAGCCCCGGCCAACUACGUGCCAGCAGCCGCGGUAAUACGUAGGGGGCGAGCGUUGUCCGGAUUCAUUGGGCGUAAAGAGCUCGUAGGCGGCUUGGCAAGUCGGGUGUGAAAACUUCAGGCUCAACCUGGAGCGGCCACCCGAUACUGCUAUGGCUAGAGUCCGGUAGGGGAGCGUGGAAUUCCUGGUGUAGCGGUGAAAUGCGCAGAUAUCAGGAGGAACACCGGUGGCGAAGGCGGCGCUCUGGGCCGGAACUGACGCUGAGGAGCGAAAGCGUGGGGAGCGAACAGGAUUAGAUACCCGAGUAGU